AUGUCCAACGUUAGCACUUUGGUGGGAUGCGCGCGGUCGACCGACCCGGCUGUGCGGCUGGUCUCUGCGUCCUGGGCGGGAGGCUCACCUGGAGGAACCGCGUCCCCCGGGGCCCCCAGAGAGCCCGCUUCGGCACCCACGCCGGGGGCUCCGUCGGGGGCCUCUCCUACUCCUCCCACGAGGUGCUCCUCUGGCGGCGACCCCGACACACCUCUCGCUGUCUCUGGUUGGAGGCCAGCGCCAGGCAACGCUUCCUCCCCCGGACUGCGGGCGGGCGUCUCUGCGCUCUCCUGCCUGGAGCGAUUCCCUGGUGAGGAAUGCAGCAGCUCUUUGGCAGCGGUGGUGGCAUCUGGGAAAGUCUCUCCCUCUGCCUGUAGAGGUUCUAAUUGGGCUGAAUCAUUGCUGUGGCACUGCUGCACAACCCCUACAUUGAUGCUGGAGCAAGGUGACUGUUCGGCGUCGCAGGGGGUUGCCUGAACACAGCUCUCAACGGGCUGGCCCUCAGCCUCCUGCCUGGGGCCCGCCUCGCCAGCGUCGGUUGCCUUUAG
rnacentral:lncRNA from 1 species